CUUUGUUGUCUUGUCCUAUGUGACUCCUGAUCAUGCCUGGUAAAUUCUACACAGAGGGUUCACCCAACAUGGUGGCCAGCCCUUCCUCCAGAUCUUUUGAUAUUGUGCAGAUGCUAAUGAUGGAGCAUACGACCUAUCCUUUCAUUAUUGGUUGUUCUUUUUGGGUGACUGGACUACUUCCUUUUCUGGCCAAAUAUCUCUCAAAGAAAGAAAACAAACAUCACCACCACAACAAAAGAAUUACAGAAUUGAGAGUGAAAAGGGACCACUAAGGCUAUCUAGCUCAACCUAUACCCCAGGAAGGAACCCUCAUUAUAACAUGGACAGAGCAGAGGAGAAUUUAAUCUGUACCAGGAGGUUGGAGAAUACAAGAAUGGACCACAGAGGAGAAGGGGAGGAAGGGCCAUUGGAAACUUGGAGCUAAGAGAGAAGCAUGAGGAUUUCCCCAAAGAUGAAGGUGGUUGAUACCUGGAGGAGGAGAAGAAGAAGGAAGCAGCAGCCUGUCCUUCAGAUACUGAAGCUGUGAUCUCACCCCAGGAU